CUUCACCACUGAGAUUACUGUCAGAUGUAAUGCUUAUUUAUACACAUUGUUUUGAAUUAAUUAUGCAUUACCUCAGAGCUUGGAGAUUUCAAUGCUGUGAUUGCUUCUUUUUUUUUAGUGACAUUGUAAGGUAAAAGGCCAGAUCUGGCCUGUGUAAACAUAAAACAGGUUGCUUGAUUUGGCCAGUUUGAAUACUUUGAGGUUAAGCAUAUUUAUUUCUUUCCUUAAAUCUAGCUGUAGCUUUCUCAUAGAAGGUCUGAAUUGAAAUUUUAAAUCUUGGCAAUAAUGAAGAAUUGAUUGUUGU